rnacentral:misc_RNA from 1 species
CCCCAAUGGGUUCUCUGGAUUUCCGGAGACUUGUAGGGGUUGUGGGAUUUUUGAUGUGUCGUCUCCGGACGGGCGGUGCAGGGUAGUCGAGUUGGACUUGGUGGAAUUCGAUUCCGUCGAGUCUGGCAUGGCUGUGUGCGGCUGUGUGUUGGACGGUGCAGGGUAGGCGGCUCGGUCUUGGUCGAUCUGAUGAUCGAUUCGAGGGCCGGCCACCAGAGGAUGUGGGAUGGAGGGGGUCUAGGGUAGGCUGGUUUGUCUUGGUCGAACUCGAUGUCGGCUCCCGUGCAGACCAGAGCGAACGUGGUCCAGGGUAGGUACAGGGUAGGUAGCUCGGCCUUGGUCGAUCUGGAUGUCGGUUCUCUGGCUGAUGGGUCUGGGACCGUCGAAACGAGAUGCGGGCGCUGCAGGGUAGGUAACUUCUGUCUUCGUCAGGAAGCGAUUCGUGUUGAGAUGUAUGGUCUAGGUUAGGUACAGGGUAGGCAAGUUCUUUCUCUACCAGAAAUCGAUUGGCAAUGGGAUAUAGAGUCUAGGGUAGGUACAGGGUAGGUAGAUACCCGUCCGGCCAGUACUGGCCCAUGCGUGCGAAAUGGUUUUGCAGUCUGGUGGCCGUGAGUCGAUUUUUUUGUUUUGCCAUACUAUUGAAUUUUGCGGAAAUUCAAAAGUGGCCCGCGAGUCCGGUCUGGCGUGCGUCCAACUUGAACACCGUCGGUGGGCAUAUGAGAGGGAGCAAUCCGGCCGGGCCGGGGCCCAUCGCGUGCCCCAGGGUAGGUAAAAGUAAAAAAGUUGUUAAGAGGCGCGGUGUCGGUGUGCUUGUAUUCGGGGAAGAGAAUUAUCUGGAGGUGGAGGGGAGCCGGGAAGACUUGGACGGAUUCGGUCCGGGAACUGGUCUGGGCCUGGUUUUGGCGUGGUGCAGGGUAGACAAGUCUGAUCGAACGGUCCAGGGUAGGUACAGGGUAGGCGCAGGAUAGGUAGAAGCCUGGUAUAUAGUAUGGGCGGGUGUAGGGUAGGCUGAGAUACCGUUUUGUUUUGCGCCCUUACCUUUGCUUGAGAAACGACGAUCUUGGCCGGAAUGAAGGUCUAGGGUAGGCUGAAUUUAUGAUUAUAUAAGCUGGAUAGCUCUAGGGUAGUUGAAAAUCCCAUACAAAUCUGGUUGCAAUUGGUGAAGUUGUGAUUUUGCUGUGAAGAUGGAGAAAAGUGUGAUGCAGAAUUGUAGGUGACUUUGUAAAAGUGGAUGUGAAAUUGGAAAGUCGGGUUUCCCGAGCAGAUUUGGGCACGUUUGGGACGUCACCAGAUGCGCCUUUUCGAGGCGGUCACAACGGUGCAGCCCAUGUGUGUGCCGGACUCCUGCGUGUCCGUCUAGGGCGGGAUAAGUAGAAAUUGAGGUGGUAUAGGGUAGGUCGUCACACCCACGGUCGAAUCACCUCGCCCGUCGAUUCGCCUUGAGGUGAGGGACAGGUCUAGGGUAGGCGAAAGUCGGGUCUAGGGUAGGAAACUUCCAGCCUCGAAGCUGCCUACCCGGUAGCCAACUUCAAUCGCCUCUCACGGCCGCCACGGACCUCGCAGGAAGACGGGACCACCUCCAUCGGAUUCGCCUUGGUCGAAAUAGUCGGUAUAUGCACUUUUGAAAAAAUGCGUGCAAAAUGGUUUUGUGGUUUGGUGGCCGUGAGUCGAUUUUUUUGUUUUCCCAUACAAAUGAAUUUUGCGGAAAAUAAAAAGUGGCCCACGAGACG